rnacentral:rRNA from 1 species
GAUGAACGCUAGCGGCAGGCUUAACACAUGCAAGUCGAGGGGCAGCACGUCUUCGGAUGGUGGCGACCGGCGCACGGGUGAGUAACGCGUAUGCAAUCUACCUUUUACAGGGGCAUAGCCCGGGGAAACCCGGAUUAAUAUCCCAUGGUACCAUUUUAUAGCAUUAUGAGAUGGUUAAAGCUUCGGCGGUAAAAGAUGAGCAUGCGUCCUAUUAGCUUGAUGGUAAGGUAACGGCUUACCAUGGCUUUGAUAGGUAGGGGUCCUGAGAGGGAGACCCCCCACACUGGUACUGAGACACGGACCAGACUCCUACGGGAGGCAGCAGUGAGGAAUAUUGGACAAUGGGCGAGAGCCUGAUCCAGCCAUGCCGCGUGCAGGAAGACGGCCCUAUGGGUUGUAAACUGCUUUUAUACGGGAAGAAACACCCCUUCGUGAAGGGGCUUGACGGUACCGUAUGAAUAAGGAUCGGCUAACUCCGUGCCAGCAGCCGCGGUAAUACGGAGGAUACC